UGAGACUCACAUUCUUGAUUCCAGCAGUAAGCCAGCUACUCCCAGUUAAAGGGUCAACCUCAGGUGAUCUGCUAAAUAUCUGAGGAGCUAUUAAAACAAAAUAAGGAGAUAUGGCCGGGCGUGGUGGCUCAUCCCUGUAAUUCCAACACUUUGGGAGGCCCAGGCAGGUGGACCCACCUGACAUUGGAGUUUGAGACCAGGAGAAUCACUUGAACCCGGGAAGCGGAGGUUGCAGUGAGCCAAGAUCACGCCAUUGCACUCCAGCCUGGGCAACAAGAGCAAAACUCCACCUCGGAAAAAAAAGAAAAGAAAUGAAGGAGAUAUACAUUCUCGGGGAGGAGGGGGGUCACAAAAAGAAAGAUCCUAGGCUGGAGUGGACAAGAAGGCUGCUGGAGCUGGCAAGGUCACCAAGUCUGCCCAGAAAGCUCAGAAGGCUAAAUGAAUAUUAUCCCUAAUACCUGCCACCCAAGUCUUAAUCAGUGGUGGAAGAAUAGCCUCAGAAAUGUUUGUUUCAAUCAGCCAUUUAGGUUUAAUAGUAAAUGACUGGUUAAUGGUAACAAUGCACUGUAAACCCCUCAGAAGAAAAGGAGAAUGUGUUAUGGACCAUUUGGGUUUUUU
rnacentral:lncRNA from 1 species